GCGCCCGUAGCUCAGUUGGUAGAGCGGCUCCCUUUUAAGGAGAAGGUCGGGGGAUCGUAACCCUCCGGGCGCA
rnacentral:tRNA from 1 species